UCCUGAUGGCUGCCUUUCCAUAUCCUCGCGCAGGACCGUCUUUCCGCUCGAAAAGCGUGCCAUUUUUGCCACAAAACAGUCGCUUCAACCCCCUUGUUUCGGCCACCUGUGGGGAAAAGCAGAACAAAGCGAACCGUGUGUAAAGUGUCAACACACGCUCAUACCAGGAAGAGGAUGAUGGGACCGUGCGUGAUACAUCUUGGGUACAAUUUAUUGACUGCUGACGUGUACCCUCCAGCCAACGGGGGGAGAGACCGAGCUCCUGCUCAGCGAAUCAUUGUCUUACCUAUAGUUGUGUGCAGCCGUGUAAUAUGAGACGGAUAUGCAAAGCAUGCGCUGUUUGAGUAGUGAACAACAGUAGGCAAAUCUCUAGGAAAUGAUCACCUUUUACGGCAAUAACAUUGGACCAAUUUCUCUUGUCAGUCUACAGUAUCACAAGUAAUUAUCGAGCAGUGGUGGAACGUAACAUCUACUGAAGUACUGUACUUAAGAAGCCUGCAAUUUUGAGGCUGUCAUGCUCCACUCAUGGUUAAUGAAGAGUCCCGCCUGUAGGCCUGUUGUUGCUGAAGCUGCUGGACCACUUCUUCCAGAUAACGCAAACAGCCUGGCUGUGUGAGCCAGUGAGAUAAACUGUACCACUGCCUCAAAUAAUUCCACCGAAUCUGCUAUUUUCAGGAAAUCGGGCAGCAGUCUAUCCCAGGAUGCACUGCUCGACAGCGGAAAGGACCGAAAAUGAGUUGUAAACCAGAAAACGUGGACACAUACAACAGAGGUUUAUUACCAUUUCUUUAAACCAAUCACAAUCGUCUUGGGCGGCGCUGAACGGAGC